rnacentral:rRNA from 1 species
AUGAAGCCCAGCUUGCUGGGUGGAUUAGUGGCGAACGGGUGAGUAACACGUGAGCAACCUGCCCCUGACUCUGGGAUAAGCGCUGGAAACGGCGUCUAAUACUGGAUACGAACAAGAAUCGCAUGGUUACUUGUUGGAAAGAUUUUUCGGUUGGGGAUGGGCUCGCGGCCUAUCAGCUUGUUGGUGAGGUAAUGGCUCACCAAGGCGUCGACGGGUAGCCGGCCUGAGAGGGUGACCGGCCACACUGGGACUGAGACACGGCCCAGACUCCUACGGGAGGCAGCAGUGGGGAAUAUUGCACAAUGGGCGCAAGCCUGAUGCAGCAACGCCGCGUGAGGGAUGACGGCCUUCGGGUUGUAAACCUCUUUUAGCAGGGAAGAAGCGAGAGUGACGGUACCUGCAGAAAAAGCACCGGCUAACUACGUGCCAGCAGCCGCGGUAAUACGUAGGGUGCAAGCGUUAUCCGGAAUUAUUGGGCGUAAAGAGCUCGUAGGCGGUUUGUCGCGUCUGCUGUGAAAUCUGGGGGCUCAACCCCCAGCCUGCAGUGGGUACGGGCAGACUAGAGUGCGGUAGGGGAGAUUGGAAUUCCUGGUGUAGCGGUGGAAUGCGCAGAUAUCAGGAGGAACACCGAUGGCGAAGGCAGAUCUCUGGGCCGUAACUGACGCUGAGGAGCGAAAGGGUGGGGAGCAAACAGGCUUAGAUACCCUGGUAGUCCACCCCGUAAACGUUGGGAACUAGUUGUGGGGUCCAUUCCACGGAUUCCGUGACGCAGCUAACGCAUUAAGUUUCCCCGCCUGGGGAGUACGGCCGCAAGGCUAAAACUCAAAGGAAUUGACGGGGACCCGCACAAGCGGCGGAGCAUGCGGAUUAAUUCGAUGCAACGCGAAGAACCUUACCAAGGCUUGACAUAUACGAGAACGGGCCAGAAAUGGUCAACUCUUUGGACACUCGUAAACAGGUGGUGCAUGGUUGUCGUCAGCUCGUGUCGUGAGAUGUUGGGUUAAGUCCCGCAACGAGCGCAACCCUCGUUCUAUGUUGCCAGCACGUAAUGGUGGGAACUCAUGGGAUACUGCCGGGGUCAACUCGGAGGAAGGUGGGGAUGACGUCAAAUCAUCAUGCCCCUUAUGUCUUGGGCUUCACGCAUGCUACAAUGGCCGGUACAAUGGGCUGCAAUACCGUGAGGUGGAGCGAAUCCCAAAAAGCCGGUCCCAGUUCGGAUUGAGGUCUGCAACUCGACCUCAUGAAGUCGGAGUCGCUAGUAAUCGCAGAUCAGCAACGCUGCGGUGAAUACGUUCCCGGGUCUUGUACACACCGCCCGUCAAGUCAUGAAAGUCGGUAACACCUGAAGCCGG